UACGUAGGCAGCAAGCGUUGUUCGGAGUUACUGGCGUAAAGGGUGCGUAGGCGGCCUUAUAAGUAUGGUGUGAAAUCUCCCGGCUUAACUGGGAGGUGCGCUAUAGACUGUGGGGCUAGAGUGUGGGAGAGGAAAGUGGAAUUCCUGGUGUAGCGGUGAAAUGCGUAGAUAUCAGGAGGAACACCGGUGGUGUAAACGGCUUUCUGGACCAUAACUGACGCUGAGGCACGAAAAGCGUGGGUAGCAAACAGG
rnacentral:rRNA from 1 species